AUACUUACCUGGCAGGGGAGAUACCAUGAUCAAGAAGGUGGUUUUCCCAGGGCAAGGCUGUGCACUCCAGAUGUGCUGACCCCUGCAAUUUCCCCAAAUGUGUGAAACUCGACAGCAUAAUUUGUGGUAGUGGGGGACUGUGUUUGCGCUUUCCUCUG
ensembl:snRNA U1 U1 spliceosomal RNA